rnacentral:hammerhead_ribozyme from 1 species
AUCCAGAUGAUAAGUCCCGAAUAGGGCGAAGUGUGCAUCCUGGAU